rnacentral:rRNA from 1 species
CAGCUAGUUGGUAGGGUAAAGGCCUACCAAGGCAAUGAUCGGUAGCCGGCCUGAGAGGGCACACGGCCACACUGGCACUGAAACACGGGCCAGACUCCUACGGGAGGCAGCAGUGGGGAAUCUUGCACAAUGGAGGAAACUCUGAUGCAGCGACGCCGCGUGAGCGAUGAAGCCCUUCGGGGUGUAAAGCUCCUUCGGCAGGAACGAUAAUGACGGUACCUGCAGAAGAAGCUGCGGCUAACUACGUGCCAGCAGCCGCGGUAAUACGUAGGCAGCAAGCGUUGUUCGGAAUUACUGGGCGUAAAGAGUGUGUAGGCGGUUCUCUAAGUUCCGUGUGAAAUCUCCCGGCUCAACUGGGAGGGUGCGCGGGAAACUGGAGGGCUCGAGUAUGGGAGAGGAAAGCGGAAUUCCUGGUGUAGCGGUGAAAUGCGUAGAUAUCGGGAGGAACACCUGCGGUGUAGACAGCUUUCUGGACCAUCACUGACGCUGAGACACGAAAGCGUGGGUAGCAAACAGGAUUAGAUACCCUGGUAGUCCACGCCCUAAACGAUGCAUACUUGGUGUGAGCCGUUCAUUCGGUUCGUGCCGGAGCUAACGCGUUAAGUAUGCCGCCUGGGGAGUACGGUCGCAAGGCUGAAACU